rnacentral:rRNA from 1 species
GAACGCUCACCUUCGGGUGGGAGUGGCAGACGGGUGAGUAACACGUGGGAACGUACCCUUUGGUUCGGGACAACUCUGGGAAACUGGAGCUAAUACCGGAUACGCCCUUUUGGGGAAAGGUUUACUGCCGAAGGAUCGGCCCGCGUCUGAUUAGCUAGUUGGUGGGGUAACGGCCUACCAAGGCGACGAUCAGUAGCUGGUCUGAGAGGAUGAUCAGCCACACUGGGACUGAGACACGGCCCAGACUCCUACGGGAGGCAGCAGUGGGGAAUAUUGGACAAUGGGCGCAAGCCUGAUCCAGCCAUGCCGCGUGAGUGAUGAAGGCCUUAGGGUUGUAAAGCUCUUUUAUCCGGGACGAUAAUGACGGUACCGGAGGAAUAAGCCCCGGCUAACUUCGUGCCAGCAGCCGCGGUAAUACGAAGGGGGCUAGCGUUGCUCGGAAUCACUGGGCGUAAAGGGCGCGUAGGCGGCGUUUUAAGUCGGGGGUGAAAGCCUGUGGCUCAACCACAGAAUGGCAUUCGAUACUGGGACGCUUGAGUCUGGUAGAGGUUGGUGGAACUGCGAGUGUAG